GAUGAACGCUAGCGGCAGGCCUAAUACAUGCAAGUCGAACGGCAGCACAAGGUAGCUUGCUAUCUGUGUAGUGACCGGCGCACGGGUGCGGAACGCGUAAGCAACCUGCCAUCUACAGGUGGAUAACCCGUCGAAAGACAGAUUAACACUGCUUAUGAUCACAGCUUGGCAUCAAGUGGAUAGGAACAAAUUUAGGAAUAGGAUAGGCAUGCGUCGCAUUUGCUUGUGGGGGAGGUAACGGGCCACCAAGGGCACGAUGCGUAUGGGGACUGUGAGGGUCAUCCCCCACACUGGUACUGGGACACGGACCAGACUCCUACGGGAGGCAGCAGUGCGGAAGAUUGGGCAAUGGGCGCGAGCCUGAACCAGCCAAGGCGCGUGAAGGAUGACUGUCUUAUGGAUUGUAAACUUCUUUGAUACGGGAAUAACAGGGGUGACGGGUGACACUCUGAAUGUACCGGAUGAAUAAGGAUCGGCUAACUCCGUG
rnacentral:rRNA from 1 species